rnacentral:rRNA from 1 species
CGCGUAGGCGGUUUGGACAGUUGGGCGUGAAAUUCCCGGGCUUAACUUGGGGGCUGCGCUCGAUACAUCCAGACUUGAGUGAGGAAGAGGGUCGUGGAAUUCCCAGUGUAGAGGUGAAAUUCGUAGAUAUUGGGGAGAACACCGGUGGCGAAGGCGGCGACCUGGUCCUUUACUGACGCUGAGGCGCGAAAGCGUGGGGAGCAAACAGGAUUAGAUACCCUGGUAGUCCACGCCGUAAACGAUGUGUGCUGGAUGUUGGGUGACCUAGUCACUCAGUGUCGUAGCUAACGCGGUAAGCACACCGCCUGGGGAGUACGGCCGCAAGGUUGAA